GACGGAGGGUGCAAACGUUGCUCGGAAUCACUGGGCAUAAAGCGCACGUAGGCGGCCAACUAAGUCAGGUGUGAAAGCCCCCGGCUCAACCGGGGAAUUGCUCCUGAUACUGGUUGGCUAGAGGACGGUAGGGGUGAGUGGAACUCCAGGUGGAGCGGUGAAAUGCGUAGAUAUCUGGAGGAACACCGGUGGCGAAAGCGGCUCACUGGACCGUGUCUGACGCUGAGGUGCGAAAGCUAGGGUAGCGAACGGGAUUAGAUACCCCGGUAGUCCUAGCCGUAAACGAUGGGCACUAGGUAGGGGGUAGGCCUAUGCUAUUCCCUGUCGUAGCUAAUGUGUUAAGUGCCCCGCCUGGGGAGUACGCUCGCAAGGGUAAA
rnacentral:rRNA from 1 species